UCUAGAACUCGAGAUAUGGGCUGAACACUGAACAGUGUCUGGGUUGCAGGACAGAUUCGGGCUUCUUCAUUGUUGCUACAAUUUGGACUUGAAAACGGCCUUAUUAAAUCUUGGGCUCCUCAUGAAAGUUGUAGGCCUAUGUCUUAUCUUUCCAUU
rfam:Populus trichocarpa isolate Nisqually-1 chromosome 13, whole genome shotgun sequence.